GCUUGUUGCUGGAACUGUUGUCGCUGUAUAGCUGCCCAAGCCCAAUCUCAGUCUCAAUCUCAAUUCCAAGACGGAGGCAGGUAUUUUUCUCCGGGUUUUUUGUCUCUCUGUUGUUGUUAUAAGUUUUAUUAUUAUUCUCUUCAGUUCGAAUAUUUCAAAUCACGUAGAAAGGUGUGUUUUUUUUUGUUGAUGUUGUUAGUUCUGGAAAAUCGCAUGCAACACAGGUGAGCUGCUCAGCUCAUAUACUAGGUAGGAGCCAUAGAGUGUUGACAUGUCUAUACGCCGCCGGCCGCCGCCGCUCCGCCGGACUAUACAGAGUUGGACCUCAACUUGAAGAAAGAAUUAAAAAUCAUGACAACGAUGACGACUGACGACGAAGACGACAAGUCGAAAAUGACAACGCAUGAGGUGCGGGAGGAGAUGACAACAAUACUGAUGCAGUCGUAUAUAGAUACAUUUGUAUCUAUGUUUUUCAAAUCAAGUUUCUGAUGAGGUUGACGACGACGACAGCCUACCGAGCAAAGACGACGACGACGACGACUUUUGUUAAAUUGUUUUGUCUUUUAAUUUGUCAAUGAAUUUACAAAUUAACAGUUGUUGGUUUUUAUUUAAGUUUUUUUUUUAUUUUGUUUGUUGUUAUUAAAACAACUUAAGUUUUUAAUAAGAGAAGAAAAACAAGCAGGUGAUGUGAUGAGGAAAAGGCAAGAUUUUCAAGGAAAAGUUGUUUACUAUUAUGUGCGUUUUUAUAAAUAUUUGUUUUUCUUGGUUUUUAUUGUUGUUUGACUAAUGUGGCGAUUAAUUAUUGCAUUAAAAAGAUUGAGAGAGAAAGAGAGAUUUGAAAGUAGUAUUAAAUAAAUUGUUGUUUUUAAUA